CUCGUGAUGCUUUCGAUGAAAGGAAAGGAAGAAGCUCUGUCGUCGUCGGAAUCGGAUGGUGGAGAAAAGAUGAAGUUUUGCAAGCGAUACGAGGAGUACAUGCGGGGGAGGGAGGAGGGGAUGCCCUCCGUCGGACUCAAGAAGUUGAAGAAGAUCCUCAAGAGAUGCAGGAUAGAAUUCCACUCCCGGCUAGACCUAGACGGCGAAGGAGGCGCCGCAUGCCCUAAUAAUUGUGCAGUUUGCGAUGGCUCCUUCUUCUCCUCCCUAUUGAAUGAGAUGUCGGCUGUUGUUGGGUGUUUUAAUCAACGAGCACAAAAGCUGCUUGAAUUGCAUUUGGCAUCAGGCUUUAAGAAGUAUAUAUUGUGUUUUAGAGGUAAGUCUCUUCUGAGCCAUGGAGAAAUGAUGCAAGAAGGGAAGGACCUAGUUGCUUAUGGUAUCAUAAACUCCAUUGCCAUGAGGAAGAUAUUAAAAAAGUAUGACAAGAUUCAUUUCUCAAGGCAAGGACAGGCAUUCAGAUCUAAAGCUCCAAGUAUGCAUAUUGAAAUUCUUCAAUCGCCGUGGCUCUGUGAUCUGAUGGCCUUUUACAUUAACUUGAGGCGAAGUUCAGAUAAGAACAAGUCGACGGUUGAAUUAUUUGAUGACUGCUCUCUUACUUUUGAUGAUGAGGGUAAACCGACACUGUCUUGCGGUCUCUUCGACUCUUUGAAGAUUGAAAUUGAUUUGACAUGCUCGAUUUGUCUGUUUCUCUCACAUGUGGCCAUCUUCUAUGCUACAUGUGUUGUUGUUCUGCUGCAUCGGUGACAAUAGUUGAUGGCUUAAAGGCUGCAAACCACAAAGCAAAAUGUCCUCUUUGUCGACAGGUACACAUUACUCCCAAUCCUUGUCUUGUUAUAUGCGACUGAUAAAUUUCAGGAAGGAGUAUAUGAAGAUGCAAUGCACUUAAAUGAGUUGAAUAUCUUGUUGAGCCACAGUUGCCGUGACUACUGGCAGAAGCGACUUGAGAUUGAAAGAGUUGAGCGAGUUCGUCUGACAAAGAAACACUGGCAAUCUGUGAGACAGGAUUUCCUUGGUUUCCAAUGAACAAAACAUUGUUUGUCAGUCAGUGAUCAAAUUGCUUUGGUGGAAUAACUCUUGUUCAAACCCCUUCUUACCUUCUUGUUUACAGUUGUAAGUUUUUGUAA